rnacentral:rRNA from 1 species
GAUGAACGCUGGCGGCGUGCCUAAUACAUGCAAGUCGAGCGAACGGACGAGAAGCUUGCUUCUCUGAUGUUAGCGGCGGACGGGUGAGUAACACGUGGAUAACCUACCUAUAAGACUGGGAUAACUUCGGAAAACCGGAGCUAAUACCGGAUAAUAUUUUGAACCGCAUGGUUCAAAAGUGAAAGACGGUCUUGCUGUCACUUAUAGAUGGAUCCGCGCUGCAUUAGCUAGUUGGUAAGGUAACGGCUUACCAAGGCAACGAUGCAUAGCCGACCUGAGAGGGUGAUAGGCCACACUGGAACUGGGACACGGUCCAGACUACUACGGGAGGCAGCAGUAGGGAAUCUUCCGCAAUGGGCGAAAGCCUGACGGAGCAACGCCGCGUGAGUGAUGAAGGUCUUCGGAUCGUAAAACUCUGUUAUUAGGGAAGAACAUAUGUGUAAGUAACUGUGCACAUCUUGACGGUACCUAAUCAGAAAGCCACGGCUAACUACGUG